rnacentral:rRNA from 1 species
UUUGUUUAUAGCAAUAUGAGUGAACUCUAGUGGCGAAAGGGUGCGUAACACGUGGCUACCUACCUCGAAGUUGGGGAUAGCUCGGCGAAAGCCGGAUUAAUACCGAAUGUGACCGGAAGGUCAAAGUUGGGGAUCGUAAGACCUGACGCUUUGAGAUGGGGCUGCGGCCUAUCAGGUAGUUGGCGGGGUAAUGGCCCACCAAGCCUAAGACGGGUAGCUGGUCUGAGAGGACGACCAGCCACACUGGAACUGAGACACGGUCCAGACACCUACGGGUGGCAGCAGUCGAGGAUUUUUCUCAAUGGGGGAAACCCUGAAGGAGCGACGCCGCGUGAGGGAUGAAGGUCUUCGGAUUGUAAACCUCUGUCAUCUGGGAACAAUGUAAUCUACCUAACACGUGGAUUAUUGAUAGUACCGGAAGAGGAAGCAGUGGCUAACUCUGUGCCAGCAGCCGCGGUAAUACAGAGACUGCAAGCGUUGUUCGGAUUCAUUGGGCGUAAAGGGUGCGCAGGCGGUGUGCUAAGUCGGAUGUGAAAUCUCACAGCCUAACUGUGAUAGGUCAUUCGAAACUGGCAUGCUAGAGGACUGGAGAGGAGACUGGAAUGGUCGGUGUAGCGGUGAAAUGCGUAGAGAUCGACCAGAACACCGGUGGCGAAGGCGGGUCUCUGGACAGUUCCUGACGCUCAGGCACGAAAGCCAGGGGAGCAAACGGGAUUAGAUACCCCGGUAGUCCUGGCCCUAAACGGUGUUCACUUGGUGUGCGGGGAGUCGACCCCCUGCGUGCCGCAGCUAACGCGAUAAGUG